rnacentral:rRNA from 1 species
GACGAACGCUGGCGGCGUGCUUAACACAUGCAAGUCGAACGGGCUGGCUCUGGUUUUUUGCUGGGGUUGGUUAGUGGCGAACGGGUGAGUAACACGUGAGUAACCUGCCCUCUUCUCCUGGAUAACUGCUUGAAAGGGCGGCUAAUACGGGGUGGUCUGGCCUGCCUGCAUGGGUGGGUUGGUAUAGGUUCAACUUUGGUUGUUCUGGUGGGGGAUGGGCUCGCGGCUUAUCAGCUUGUUGGUGGGGUGAUGGCUUACCAAGGCUUUGACGGGUAGCCGGCCUGGGAGGGUGGACGGUCACACUGGGACUGAGAUACGGCCCAGACUCCUGCGGGAGGCAGCAGUGGGGAAUAUUGCACAAUGGGCGGAAGCCUGAUGCAGCGACGUCGCGUGAGGGAUGGAGGCCUUCGGGUUGUGAACCUCUUUUUCCGGUGGUGAAGGCCUGCUUCUUUGUGGGUGGGUUGACGGUAGCCGGGUUAGGAAGCGCCGGCUAACUACGUG